UACGGAGGGAGCUAGCGUUGUUCGGAAUUACUGGGCGUAAAGCGCGCGUAGGCGGUUACUCAAGUCAGAGGUGAAAGCCCGGAGCUCAACUCCGGAACUGCCAUUGAAACUGUUUAGCUUGAGGACGAGAGAGGUGAGUGGAAUUCCCAGUGUAGAGGUGAAAUUCGUAGAUAUUGGGAAGAACACCGGUGGCGAAGGCGGCUCACUGGCUCGUUUCUGACGCUCAGGCGCGACAGCGUGGGGAUCAAACAGG
rnacentral:rRNA from 1 species